CGUCGACAUCGGACGCUAUGGCACACUCGUGCCUUCUGUGCCACCGAAGCCCCGAAGUGCCCAGGCAUAUACCUUCACAUAUAUGCAAUGGCAAGCCCUUCCGUGUGUUCCAAAGGUAAAAUUUAAGCUCGAAAUUAAAGAAGACAUUUCUAGUCAGAAACAAGCAAAAAUGGUGAAUGCAGAGUAUCAGAAGCCCAAGGUACAGAAAUUAUGAGAAGUGUUGAAUGAUUUUAAGGAAAGAAUGGUAUUUGAAGAUGCAAGAUUCUUUAGUGGAAAUCAAGCAAGUCAGUAUAGGUAGAAUACUCUGAGAAAUUAUGCGAGUAAUGGGAUAGCACACAAUGGGUCAGGAAAUGCGUUGUUUUUCUGAAAAACUAAAGCUGAUGACUGUCAUAUCAUGAGUCACUUUAGCAUCAUGAGACUGCUGUUUGAUAAAUUCAGAAACAAACCAAAAAGCAAGCCAUGCAAAAAUAAAAAAAAAACUAUUUAAUGAUGCUCUCUCCACACUGGGAUAAAUAAUAAGAAACGGAUCACGUCUAAUGUGGACAUAUCAGACACCUUGUGAAACACUAAAAGAAAAAUUCAGUUUCAAGCUAUGGCACUUGCCGCAUAGAUGUGGGGGGCCUUGCACCAAUAGUAAUAGUUACCACUGCAUCUAGAAAUUUAAUCAUUCAUGCAGACAAGGAUGAUUCUUUAUAUUUUUGGCUACCACUUCAAAUGCCUCCACUAAGUGUUACAAUGCUGCAUGCAGCCAUACUAAGGAUCUCACAGCAACACUUGCAGGUGAACAGCAAAAGCAGUCAAAGUGCUGGUGUAUUCUGGACACUGUCUUUGAAAACUUUUAGGCAAGAACAGUGCAAGAAACAGACAUAAGAACUGCAUUUAUUUCUAUAAUUCCCCAUUUGAAUGGCCUUUUCUUUUUCCUUCGACAAUGCCUUCGCCUAGCCACAGCAGCUCCCUCAUACAGACUCCGCAAGCCAAGAGGCCGUGGAGGCAAAUGCAGACAGCCAGCACACCUCGAACAGCCACCUUGACUGCGGGUGUGUCACCCUAGUCGCCAAGGAAACAUUUGAGGGAAAGCGACAGGCGAUGUGAACAGCCACUUCUCC